rnacentral:rRNA from 1 species
AUUGAACGCUGGCGGCAGGCCUAACACAUGCAAGUCGAACGAGUGGCGGACGGGUGAGUAAUGUCUGGGAAACUGCCUGAUGGAGGGGGAUAACUCCUGGAAACGGUAGCUAAUACCGCAUACCAUCAGAUGUGCCCCGAUGGGAUUAGCUAGUUGGUGGGGUAACGGCUCACCAAGGCGACGAUCCCUAGCUGGUCUGUGAGGAUGACCAGCCAAACUGGAUCUGAGAUAGGGUCCAUAGUCGUAAGGGAGGAAGCAGUGGGGAAUAUUGCACAAUGGGCGCAAGCAUGAUGCAGCCAUGACGCGUGUAUGAAGAAGGCCGUCGGUUUGUAAAGUACUGUCAGCGGGGAGGCGUUACGCGCAGAAGAAGCACCGGCUAACUCCGUGCCAGCAGCCGCGGUAAUUC